AGCGAAUGCUUUGGGGUGGGGUGACUGCGUACCUUUUGUAUAAUGGGUCAGCGACUUAUAUUCUGUAGCAAGGUUAACCGAAUAGGGGAGCCGGAGGGAAACCGAGUCUUAAUUGGGCGUUAAGUUGCAGGGUAUAGACCCGAAACCCGGUGAUCUAGCCAUGGGCAGGUUGAAGGUUGGGUAACACUAACUGGAGGACCGAACCGACUAAUGUUGAAAAAUUAGCGGAUGACCUGUGGCUGGGGGUGAAAGGCCAAUCAAACCGGGAGAUAGCUGGUUCUCCCCGAAAGCUAUUUAGGUAGCGCCUCGUGAAUUCAUCUCCGGGGGUAGAGCACUGUUUCGGCUAGGGGGCCAUCCCGGCUUACCAACCCGAUGCAAACUGCGAAUACCGGAGAAUGUUAUCACGGGAGACACACGGCGGGUGCUAACGUCCGUCGUGAAGAGGGAAACAACCCAGACCGCCAGCUAAGGUCCCAAAGUCAUGGUUAAGUGGGAAACGAUGUGGGAAGGCCCAGACAGCCAGGAUGUUGGCUUAGAAGCAGCCAUCAUUUAAAGAAAGCGUAAUAGCUCACUGGUCGAGUCGGCCUGCGCGGAAGAUGUAACGGGGCUAAACCAUGCACCGAAGCUGCGGCAGCGACACUGUGUGUUGUUGGGUAGGGGAGCGUUCUGUAAGCCUGUGAAGGUGUGUCGUGAGGCAUGCUGGAGGUAUCA
rnacentral:rRNA from 1 species